GAUAUGUUAUUUCUUGAGAUAAGCAAAGCUUUUGAUUCGGUCUCCCACAGUAUUCUUGCCAGCAAGUUAAAGUAGUAUGGGCUGGAUGAAUUGACUAUAA